ACAUUCGUCAAGGGGGAGUAGCGUUAGCCUUUUUGGAGGCUAAGAUAAAGUCGUCAUUACAUGAAUUCGUUCAUCGGCUUUAUUAACAUUUUAUACAAUGUCAGCGAGACCUUUGCCAAUUUGGGCAGGGGUCUCGUUUUUUGUUGUUUGAAAGCAGACGCUU
rnacentral:sRNA from 2 species